UACGUAGGGUGCGAGCGUUGUCCGGAAUUACUGGGCGUAAAGAGCUCGUAGGUGGUUUGUCGCGUUGUCCGUGAAAACUCACAACUCAAUUGUGGGCGUGCGGGCGAUACGGGCAGACUGGAGUACUGCAGGGGAGACUGGAAUUCCUGGUGUAGCGGUGGAAUGCGCAGAUAUCAGGAGGAACACCGGUGGCGGAGGCGGGUCUCUGGGCAGUAACUGACGCUGAGGAGCGAAAGCGUGGGGAGCGAACAGG
rnacentral:rRNA from 1 species